AGUGAACGCUGGCGGUAGGCCUAACACAUGCAAGUCGAACGGCAGCACAGUAAGAGCUUGCUCUUACGGGUGGCGAGUGGCGGACGGGUGAGGAAUACAUCGGAAUCUACUUUUUCGUGGGGGAUAACGUAGGGAAACUUACGCUAAUACCGCAUACGACCUACGGGUGAAAGCAGGGGAUCUUCGGACCUUGCGCGAUUGAAUGAGCCGAUGUCGGAUUAGCUAGUUGGCGGGGUAAAGGCCCACCAAGGCGACGAUCCGUAGCUGGUCUGAGAGGAUGAUCAGCCACACUGGAAAUGAGACACGGUCCAGACUCCUACGGGAGGCAGAAGUGGGGAAUAUUGGACAAUGGGCGCAAGCCUGAUCCAGCCAUACCGCGUGGGUGAAGAAGGCCUUCGGGUUGUAAAGCCCUUUUGUUGGGAAAGAAAAGCAGCAGGUUAAUACCCCGCUGUUCUGACGGUACCCAAAGAAUAAGCACCGGCUAACUUCGUG
rnacentral:rRNA from 1 species